UACGUAGGGGGCUAGCGUUGUCCGGAAUCAUUGGGCGUAAAGCGCGUGUAGGCGGCCCGGUAAGUCCGCUCUGAAAGUCGGGGGCUCAACCCUCGGAUGCGGGUGGAUACUGUCGGGCUUGAGUGCGGAAGAGGCGAGUGGAAUUCCUGGUGUAGCGGUGAAAUGCGCAGAUAUCAGGAGGACCACCGGUGGCGAAGGCGGCAUCCUGGACCGACACUGACGCUGAGGAGCGAAAGCCAGGGGAGCAAACGGG
rnacentral:rRNA from 1 species